rnacentral:rRNA from 1 species
GGGAGCUUGCUCCCUGAUGUUAGCGGCGGACGGGUGAGUAACACGUGGGUAACCUGCCUGUAAGACUGGGAUAACUCCGGGAAACCGGGGCUAAUACCGGAUGGUUGUUUGAACCGCAUGGUUCAAACAUAAAAGGUGGCUUCGGCUACCACUUACAGAUGGACCCGCGGCGCAUUAGCUAGUUGGUGAGGUAACGGCUCACCAAGGCAACGAUGCGUAGCCGACCUGAGAGGGUGAUCGGCCACACUGGGACUGAGACACGGCCCAGACUCCUACGGGAGGCAGCAGUAGGGAAUCUUCCGCAAUGGACGAAAGUCUGACGGAGCAACGCCGCGUGAGUGAUGAAGGUUUUCGGAUCGUAAAGCUCUGUUGUUAGGGAAGAACAAGUACCGUUCGAAUAGGGCGGUACCUUGACGGUACCUAACCAGAAAGCCACGGCUAACUACGUGCCAGCAGCCGCGGUAAUACGUAGGUGGCAAGCGUUGUCCGGAAUUAUUGGGCGUAAAGGGCUCGCAGGCGGUUUCUUAAGUCUGAUGUGAAAGCCCCCGGCUCAACCGGGGAGGGUCAUUGGAAACUGGGGAACUUGAGUGCAGAAGAGGAGAGUGGAAUUCCACGUGUAGCGGUGAAAUGCGUAGAGAUGUGGAGGAACACCAGUGGCGAAGGCGACUCUCUGGUCUGUAACUGACGCUGAGGAGCGAAAGCGUGGGGAGCGAACAGGAUUAGAUACCCUGGUAGUCCACGCCGUAAACGAUGAGUGCUAAGUGUUAGGGGGUUUCCGCCCCUUAGUGCUGCAGCUAACGCAUUAAGCACUCCGCCUGGGGGAGUACGGUCGCAAGACUGAAACUCAAAGGAAUUGACGGGGGCCCGCACAAGCGGGUGGGAGCAUGGUGGUUUAAUUCGAAGCAACGCGAAGAACCUUACCAGUCUUGACAUCCUUCUGACAAUCCUAGAGAUAGGACGUCCUCUUUCGGGGGCAAGAGUGACAGGUGGUGCAUGGUGUCGUCAGCC